UAGGGAAUCUUCCACAAUGGACGAAAGUCUGAUGGAGCAACGCCGCGUGAGUGAAGAAGGUUUUCGGAUCGUAAAGCUCUGUUGUUGGUGAAGAGGGAUAGAGGCAGUAACUGGUCUUUAUUUGACGGUAAUCAACCAGAAAGUCACGGCUAACUACGUGCCAC
rnacentral:rRNA from 1 species